CUUUGUCGUAGCGGUAAAUCGGUGCGAGUAUCUCCAGGAACUUGAGGAUGCACUGCUCGUCGUUGAGAUUGGCCACCUGCUUGAAUGUUUGCUGGAUUAGCUUCCGGAGGGUUUUAGCCUGGAGAGAAGCAGGAACAGAGCAGCCAAGGUUUGACAACACAUCAAAUACCACAUGUUACGAUCUGGAAACUUUCUUUAUUUAAGAGGGAUCCUGUAGAAGCAGCGUCAUGCGGUAGAAACUGACCUACUCUAAUCGAACCGAUGGAGAAUUGUGACACCAGCUGCUGGGAGUCAAGAGUGAAACAAGAGGGUGCUGUUGUUUCCCUGGCUGACUGAAGAUGCAGGACAAAUGAGUUUGGAUAUUGUGUUUGCAGGUAUUCCUGUUAUAUGACUAAAAAAUAAUAGAUUAACAAGACAAACUAUUUCAGUGGCUCAAGUGGUGGAAAUACACACAAUAAACAGCUGAGAUGCAAUGCAAGAGACCAAGCUUAAAGAUUUGGUCUGUUUCUUUCACAAACAUUGUAAAGCAAUACAAGAACACCCGUCUGCUUAAGCAGCUGUAAGCAUAUGAACUC